GAUGAACGCUGGCGGCGUGCCUAAUACAUGCAAGUCGAGCGAACAGACGAGGAGCUUGCUCCUCUGACGUUAGCGGCGGACGGGUGAGUAACACGUGGAUAACCUACCUAUAAGACUGGGAUAACUUCGGGAAACCGGAGCUAAUACCGGAUAAUAUAUUGAACCGCAUGGUUCAAUAGUGAAAGACGGUUUUGCUGUCACUUAUAGAUGGAUCCGCGCCGCAUUAGCUAGUUGGUAAGGUAACGGCUUACCAAGGCAACGAUGCGUAGCCGACCUGAGAGGGUGAUCGGCCACACUGGAACUGGAACACGGUCCAGACUCCUACGGGAGGCAGCAGUAGGGGAUCUUCCGCAAUGGGCGAAAGCCUGACGGAGCAACGCCGCGUGAGUGAUGAAGGUCUUCGGAUCGUAAAACUCUGUUAUUAGGGAAGAACAAAUGUGUAAGUAACUAUGCACGUCGUGACGGUACCUAGUCAGAAAGCCACGGCUAACUACGUG
rnacentral:rRNA from 1 species